CAGCCCUGCUCUCCAGGACCAAGUCUAGUGCAGGAGACAGGCAGUAUUGUGAGGGUGCUAUGGUGGCAUAGAGCAGGGAGGGGCAUUUCAGCCAUGACUUCAGGCAGGGACUGGGAGUUAAGCAGAUGAGGCAGAGGGGCCAACAUGGGUGACACUUAGAGAAGCCUGGAGGAGUAUGAGGAGGCCUGGGAUCUGUAUGCUAGGGGAGAAGAUCCAGCCAGCUCUUUCUCCUGGAACACUCUCUCUCAUCUAGCUAGUAUAAUGGGUAUCCAGGUGGACACAGGACAGACACCCACCUGCUCUUUUCCUCUGGUUCUGGUGGGUAUAGUUGGGAUUCACCUUUCCUCAGCUUACAGCAGUAACAUCAUAAUCUGGGUCUGGGCUUAGGGAAGAGAAGCAAAGCCAGCCUUGUGACCUGCCUUAGUUUUAGCCUAUCUGGCAAACCUAGCUCAGGUAAAGAAGCUAUCUACAUGGUCUAGCCUAAAUCAUGAAUUCUGCUUCAGGGUUUGGGACCAAUGCUUCAGUUAGUAAUAAAGUGUCACUUUGUCUUGCUUUCUCCUCUAGGUAAAUAGCCCCUCAAUAACCUUGCAGGCAGCAAUAAUUUAUCUGGGGCAAGACUCAAGUAUUCCUGGGUUCUUAGCUAACAUAGCAUCUUAUUACCAUGCGAUUAUUACCUCUUCAUUACCAGUCACCUUCCUCUGGAAAGCAUAAUUCUGUGAGAAAAUAUCCCUGCAUAAUAGUGACCCCCUACACACACAUACACACAUACACACACACACACACACACACACAUACUCUGAGGCUACCUGAGAUGCUGCAAUGAAUACUCAGCCCCUAGACACAGGAGGACAGGAGUGUCUGUGAGCAACAGACAAAAGAUUUAUGUGAAAUGGAUUUCUAAGAAGCCAUAGAAAGGGAAGACAUCUGUCUGUCUAGCAGUUAUUAAAAGGCGGGGAAAGAUCUGAGGCUCAUAUGGAUGGUAUAACUAUAAAUUAAUAAAAUAAUUUCUGAACACUUUAUGGAGUCAGCCUCAUACCUCAUUCAUGCAUAAAAUCAGACUAUGAUUGCACAUCUACAACAGAUAUUCAUCAGGCAUGGAUGCUUCUUUCUGUACUUGGGAUUUCCUUUCCCUUUCAACACUGCCCUUCACAUUCAAGUUUUCUGGGGCAGGAGGCACACAGGGAUAUGAGUUUAAUUUAAGUUUGAUGCAAGAGAG
rnacentral:lncRNA from 1 species